UGAUGAAGUAUGAAAAAUGAAAGAUUAUCUGAUUUAACUACUACAAAAUUUAAAAUCUAAUUAGAAAUUUAAGAUGAUAAAUUUCGUCAUAGAAACUUUUUACAAAAAACAUACCAUUUAGCAGUACGGGAAUUGUAUGUGCAAAAGCCGAGAAAAAAAACUAAGAAUAAUCAGGUAAAAGAACGCAGCCUUAGUCUUUGAUCAAUUAUGUGCAGAAUGUCUACUUGCCUAGUGAUGAAGCACUCUAGUUUACUUUACAUGUUAUCUUCAGCGUGCAGAAAACUCCAUGUAAACUCCUCUGCAUUGUUAAAGGUAUCCUUCGAAUUAUUGACUUUAACAUUGAAAGUUGAAAGUCCUUUAGGGAAACCUAAAGAUUGUUUGUUAAUACUCAAUGGUCCAUAGGUUUUAUAUGGUUGACAGGUUGAUCUUCUUUUCUUGGAUAACUAGGCUCCUAGGAGACAAUUGAUAGGAUGAUUGCACGAGGGAAAGCAGGUCAAGUUUAUUGUGCAGACGGUGCAUUUGUUAACCUUUUUGCAUCCAUUGCAUCCAGCGGGCCAGUCCCCAACACACAAUUGAAAACUUUGUUCGUUUCAUCAACUGGUGCAAUCAACCAACAGCAUCUCUAGAGAACAGAAUACCAUAUAACUAGAUGUCUAGAUGAUCAAACUGAGGCCAUGAUGCUGGCACAAGGUUAUGCAAUCAUUGUACAUGGCACAUUCCAGUUUUGUAAUAAACUGUCAAUGUGCCUACAUGGCAGAAAUGUCCAUCCCACAGAACCAUG
rnacentral:lncRNA from 1 species